rnacentral:tmRNA from 1 species
GGGGGUGAACGGUUUCGACUUUGGACGUACGUUCCAAGGGAAGCGGGCCGAGGAUCCAGGGUUAUCUCGUAAACGAUCUCUGGAAACCAAUAACUGCCAACUCUAACGUUCGCAGCAGCUUCGCUCUCGCCGCCUGACGGCCUGAGCACUUAACGAAGCGGUCAGCCCGGGGAUGCUUCCGACCCGGUUCCUGGCCUCAGCUAGGGAGCUUGCUUUGCUAGCCCGGUCACGGGGCUAGUACGGGACAUUUACAGUGACUGAGCCUGUCAGCAACCUUGUCUGUGGGAGUGCUGAGGCUGAGAAAAGCGACUAACAGACUGCGCCCGGAGAAGUCUUGGAGCGACGCUGAAGGACGCGGGUUCGAUUCCCGCCACCUCCACCC